CAUUCAGGAGUACCAAACCAGGUUUGAAAGGUUAUCUAAUCAAACUCGUGAUUGGUCUGAAAAACAGCUAUUGGGGAUCUUUAUUGAGGGCUUAAAGCCGGAGAUCUGGGGAGAAGUUAAGGCGCAACAACCAUACACGCUUAUGGUAGCCAUCUCUUUCGCACGACUUCAAGAGGAGCGAUUGAACCAUGAAGCCCGGAGGACUAGGAUCACUCCUCGACCUACAAUACUAAAGCCCUCAGCUCCCCCAACUAUCAAC
rnacentral:lncRNA from 1 species